GUAAGUAGCAAUAAAAUAGUGGAAACAAAGCAGUUUCUCUAGGGAAUUUUGUAAAGCACCCCUGUCUCUCCUUCUCCCCCCUUAAAAAUGUUCCCGUUUUAGUAUCUGAAUUCUGUUUGCUAAAACAAGGCUUGCUUAAUGAAGACAAUGGCUUAUUAUUUCUUUAAGUGGCACAGCAGGGCCCAAGUAUUACAAGCCCAGCUCUUUCAGCCCCUGCCAAGGACACAGGAACAAAGGGGCAGGCAGGAACGCGAGGCACAUAGAGCUCUUCUUACACCGCAGUUUGUGAGCACUUUCCUCCCAACAAGACCCAGGUCUCGGCUGUUCUGGAACUCAAAGACAGGGUCUUUUUCUCCUCAUUCCUGUAAAUGACUCACACACUGCAGAAAGCCGCUCGGCGACAGGCACAGCCCCGGCGGCGGCGCGGCGAGAGGAGGGGCGGCCUGCUCGGCACAGCCGCAUUCGCAGUGAGCCCCCUGACGGUGGGAGCCCGGCUGCUCCUCGGCAGCGCCGGCCCAGAGCUCCUCCGGGAGACAGCCCUGCAAACGCCGCUGGGGGCCCGCCAAAGGGACUCUCUGCCAAAGCACGGAAUUAGGUGAGGAAACAGGAAUUUUGACGACCGCAGCUCUGGCACGAGGAUCUAGUCAAUUUUAACAUGUUUAGCAAUAUUUCGACUAUCACAAUGCUGGAAUGCCAGUCAUGGAUUCAGAUUAAUUGCUACAAAAAAGAAAUAAAAGAGCAAUGGUUAAAUUCUGGAACAGAAUUUUUACAGUAAGAAGCUGUCUCAAAAUCUUUAGGCCAGUCAAGUUCUCCAGGAGACACAGUCAACUUUACCUCUUUUUUUGCUUUUCCUACCAAAGCUGAUCACAAAGGUACUUCCUAGAAGCUGGUAUUGGGUUUGAUACGAUUCAACAUCUUUAUAAAGGAUGUGGAUGGCAGAACUGAAUGCUUGUUUACCAAGUUUGUGGAUCACACCAAACAGGGAGGAGAGGCACUAUACACCAAAAGGAAUAGCCACUGUGCAGAGAGUCCUUCACAAACUAAGACGGGGCCAAACAAGGACUGCAUAAGUGUAAUGCCUUGCACAUGAGAUAGAAUAAUCCCAAGCAGCAGUACAAGCUGGGUGGGAUCUGAAGAGCUGGGGUGUAGCUUUGCUGAGAAGGACCUGGGAAUUCUCAUGGACAGCCCUAAACUUGAGUGAGAAGUGCCUUUGUAGCAAUGAAGGCAGGAUGAGCCCUGGGUUGCAUCGGCGAGGACAGAGUCAGCAGAUCAAAGAAUUCCACUCAACAUUUGCUAGGACACACCUGGAAUACUGUGUCCAGUUCUGGUCCUCCCACUUCAUGACAAAAACUGAAAAACUGAGAGAGAGUCUAGCAGAUGAUCAUGAAGAUCAUCAGAGGUCUGGAGAUCCUGACAGAAGGUUCAAGAAACUUGAUUUGUUCAGCCCAGAGAAGAGAAGGCUCAAGGGAGGAUCUAAUCACAGUUUCCCAAUCCCCAACAGAGAGUUAUAGAGAAGAUGAAGGUAUUUUCUUCAGAAGGAUGCACAGGGCGAGAGGCAACAGGUGCAAAUUUCUUCAAGGGAAGUUGUGCCUGGGUACAAGAAUACAGUUCUUCAGCAUGAGAAACAUUAAACACUGGAAUAGGCUGACUAGAGAAGAGGUGGAAUCUCCCUGAAAAUAUUCAAGAUUUGGCUUGGCAGAGACCUGAAAAAAACAAAUCCAAGACCCAUCUUUCAAUAGAAGGCUGGACGAGGUGAUCUUCUGAGGUCCCUCUCAGCUGAGGCUUCUCUGUGAUUUUAUGCGACUAAGUAAAAUAUACAAAAAGAAAGCAUACAAUGCUUUUCCUUGUGAUAAGAAGUUUUGUCUUACAUUUUUUAUUGUUAUAAUUACUGACUCAAAAGGUCAUCCUGAAAGUAUUCCACUCAUUGGAAAAACUGUAAAAAUACUAUCUUCUUCAACCUCACUACAAUAUUUCAUUGCAACGUAGCUAGAAAGUUUAAGAUUGAAGUUCCAGUUAAUUAAAGGCUAAUAUUCAUGAUGGCAAAGUAUAUGAAGCAAUAAACUGCUUCUGAGGUUCGUUAAAUGCCAAAGAGAAGUUGAAGAGUUUGAUAAUUGCAAAACUAAUUUAUUGUAAUUCUAUGCUGUUGAACUAUGUGACAAGAUAAAAGAUACAAGCCAUUAAGCAAAAACAAAAACAAAAACAAAAACAAACGACCAACAACCAAACUAACAAACCAACCAAAACAACAAACAAAACAAAAGGAGAAAGACUAUAUUUCUUUCAUUGACUUGUGGCCUUGUGGCCAUUUAAAACCAUUGUAUCAGGUUGCAUUUGUAGACUUUUUAGUGAUGGCACAUUAGGAAAAUGACUAAGAAAAAUUAUUUGAAGCUGGACUUAAACAGUGAUUAAUUGUCUGAAGACUGAUUUUUCCACAUCACCUGAGUGUCAGAGUGUAUGCAUACUCAGGGACCUAAACACGUAUCUGCAUACGACAAUUGGUGAUUUUUGUGAAAACUGACACUAGUUUCAUGAGCAGUUUAAACCAGAAAAAAAUUGCCACUGACAGGGAGAUAAGUGGUCUUUCCCACCUCAUGUGGCUGGAUGCUACCACAAGGUACUGCCCUCCAUUAAUGACAGAAGCUUUCAUGUAGGUAUUCAUAGGAGCAGAUCAGGAAAAAAGGGAUUCGAUUUUGUGUGUGUGUGUUGUUGGUUGUUUUUUUUUUUUGUUAGGUCAAUUUGUGAAUUAUUAGAUCCUUAAAAUGGUUUAAUGCAAAGAUGACUGAACACUUAAGCUGGCACAAGAGAGGGAACAGCAUGGAGUGGGACAGGAAGAAAUAGGAGGCUACUUCUUCAAUGAGUGCUGACAUAAUAAAAUUUAAUGGUUAGAGACAUGUCUUUAUUUGAAUAAUCCAGGUUAAUGCAUUUAGAUAACAACUGGGAAGAAUAAUAUUUUUGUCUGGUUUUUACAGGAAAACUGGAAUUUAACCAGAUCUUUUGUGGAUUUUAACCCACAAAAAUAUUUCAUUAAACUUAUUUUUGAAGCUAUAGGCAUCAAAAGUUACAUGACCGCUCAACUGUCUUACCUAAAAAAUGCAGUCUUCCUUGAAAAUAUAACACCAUAAUAUCAUCUUGAAGAGUGAUGUUUUCAGAAAUAAUGAGUUUUAUUUCUUUGUAUUCAAACUGAAAAACAGAUUUGUAUAAAAUUGCACUGCAUCCACAGAAUAGAGUCUACUAGUCCAUGCUACUGUCUCAGGAGAGAUGUGAAGGUGAUAACAUCAAGGAAAUGUUUGUGCAACCACUAACAGGGUCUUUAUCUCAUCCUCCUCUUGUAUAUACGUUAAACUAAAACUUUGCUUGGCUAAUGCAUCAUAGUCCUACUGGCAACCCACUGAUUUCCCCACAGGAAACAUCACCAUUUAUUGACAUACAAAGCUUUACUAUAACCACCAACUGCAAUGUCCUCAUCCUUUUACUCUGAUAGAACUCUUGGCUGAUCAGGCAUUGGCACAACGUCACUGAUUUACAACUCAUGUCCAGACAGCAAGCCUCGGUGCAAAAGCCAUGAUCCCCAGCUUGUGGUUCUGGAGUCAGUAUGCACAUAGGUACCUUAUGCAUUUCUAUAGUUGUAACACGGGCAAGCCCAUCAUCAAGAAAACCAAUCACGUUUGAGAAAACUUCAAGAUUUUGGCAGUUACCUACUAACACAACAAAACAAUAGCAUGAUAAUAGUAUUUGGUGAAUAGAUUUUUAAUAAACAUUAGUAAUAGUAGUGGUAAAGACUUAGAAACAUAAAUCUGAGCGAGUGUUAACACUUAGAACCUGCAUCGGGCAUCCCCAAGAGUGUCUACUCUGAUUUGCAAUAAGUAACAAAGCUUAUGUUGCUCUUUCUUCAUUUACUGAUCCUAAUUUGAUUAAACUAACAUAGGUGCUUAAGGCAUUCUAUAAUCAUGUUUUGAUUUUGCUACACAGACAUACCAAAAAUUGAACAAGAAACUGAUAGGAGAGGCACAGUAAGAUGUCCCAAUAGGCACUCUUGAGUUCUACAUUAAUUCUUUUUAUUUAAUAUCAAUAUCACAAGCAUUCAAUAUCAAAAGAACAUCAACAUGUAUCAGACAAAAGCUUUUUAUAUCCAAAAAGAAACAGGGAGAUCUUUCUUCACAUGUGUCACUCUUGAUAUGAUUUAAAUGGUGCCACAUCUAAUGCUUAAGUGCUGCUUCUGGGGCUACUGCAUGAGUCUGGACAACAGAUCAAAGCCCAUCUCAUAGCUUCAAAAGUAAAAAUGAGAGAAAUCAAUUUUAAGAUUCCAAAAUGAAACUACUGAUAGAAGGUCAGUGAACAUUACAAAUGCUUCUAAAGCACCAGAACUUGAAAGAAAAAUCAGACGUGAUUUUGUACAAAGAUACCGUAUCUCAUUAUUGCCUUUAGACAAUACUGAAAGUCAUAAGCCGCAUACAGAAUUACUCUAUUUCUUCACCUUAGAAAUGUUAGUUUUGAUUGGGGAAAAGAUAAGCUGUUUCGAUACAGCAGAUGUGCGUAUGUUUUAAACUGCUCUACAGCACUUUGUUCUCAGAAGGUCCUCCAUCUCUUAUUCUCUGCUAGAAAGAGGCUUUCCCAUGGAUCAAUUCCACUAAAUCUGAUAACCACCUAUAUUUUUGCUGAAACUUUUGCAUUCAUGUUUCAACUGGGAUCACAGAUGUGCUUCUGAAGAGGCAUCCAGUAACAGCUCACAUCAUUAAGCAGUUUCUAAGUGAAUGAACUAGAGUCCUUUCAGACAACAGUCAGUCUGAAGGACAAAGAUCCCUGAGGCAUGUAAAACAUCAUAUCCACAGCAUCAGCUCUUUUCCUUUGGUGAUCCUCUCCUAUUGGCCUGCACUAUUCCCUGAUGAAGAAGUAACCACAAUAUUCUUUGUGGCUGCAUAUGUAUUUUUGGAUGCCAAAUCUACAUACAGCAAGUUAUAAGAAUGUUGCUGGCUAGGAAACAAAAUUAAACAUGUGGCUUUAUUUUUUUAAUAAUAGAUACAUUUUUUUUCUGAUUUCUGAAACCUUUCUUUUUUUUUUUUUUAUGCUCUUAUACAUUAUCAUCGCAUAUCUAUGUGUAUUUCAAAGAACAGCAGGUAAAACUGUGAAGUAUUACGAAAGCUAUUCUCAGCUUAUUCUGCACUUGCAUUGCACAUGUGUAUGAAGGUCCAUGCUGGAUACACCUAACAUCCUAACUUCUUAUUGUGACUCUGACAGAGGAUAUCUAGGGAAGAGAACAAAAACAAGCCCAUAAUAUAGCCAUCCUACUUCUUGUUAUUCUAAAUUGCCAAAGUCCUGCCCUCCCUUCCAGGUGGAUCUAUACUGUCUCUGCUCUUGCACUAGUUUUGGUGUCUGCCUGAUCCUGCUCUGAGCCUUUGCAAUGUUCUGAUCUGCCAGGAAACUACUCGCAUUAUUUUGUUAAAAUAUUUUUUUGCUGGAGAACGUACUGAGAUCGUUCAACAGAGCUGGAAUGCUACCUCACUUGACGAAAGUGAAGGUAAGGGAAUUACAUGUCUAUGGUAACUAGAAGUAAAUUAACUGAAGCUGCCAUAGAACCAAAUCUGAUAGGAGGUUAUUUUUUUUAUUUGGCAGUUAUUUCACACCUAGGAGAUUGUAAAUAAGCCUCAUUAUGUGUUUUGGAUGUAUCACAUUGACCCAGGCAAAUAUCCUCCAUGGAGACAGAAGUUAAAUCAUAACAAAUUCUGUGGACUGUAUUAACAUUUCUAUUCUUUCCUCUACCUUCCUACUGCUUCAGAACUAUCAUCUCAAGAAUAUGCAGCACAUGCACAUUGAAGAGGACAUGAAAGUGUAAAUCAGUGGCGAACAAGAAUUCAAACGUCAGGGGACCAAAAGUAAAAGUGGAAGGCACUGUAAUAUAAUGCUUUUAUCUGGUAGAUCAUUUAAAUUUAAAACUAUUUAUCUAAAUCACAUAAGUUACACAAUUCCAUUGCUAGAAUAGUGUAGGCAUUAACUAAUUGCAUUAACUAAUGCUGACUAUUCUCUCUGAUAAGGUAAAAAUAACAUCUGCCUACUGUUAACUAGUCAUUAGGACAUGCAUAUAUCCAAAUUAAGUAACAAUAUCUUGCAAUAACUAAUAAAAAGCAUAAUGAAGUUAAAAUAUUAAUGAAAUAAGAUUUACAGACACAGUCUUCACAAUCUAUGGCAUUAAUUGUGGCUUACAUUCAUUUGUGAACUAGAGAGAGAGUUCAUAUGUACUUCCACUGAAAUCACAGAAAUAGUAUUCUAGCAUACAAAAGAGGAAUGACAUGGUGGGAAAAAAUUUUGUUACAGUUCUGACGUAAAUUAUAUCUUUCUGUUUUUCAGGUAGAGUUCAUAUUGGCUUCCAUAAUCAGGAGACCCAAGCUUCUACUAUAGCUUAAGAAAAAACAGAAUACACCUCUCUAUAAAUACUACAAGUUAAGUAAAUGUUUAGAAAUAUUUUAGAAAAGGUGAUUUCUUUCCAAACCAUGCAAAAAUAAAAAAUUAAAAAAGCAACUGAAGCAGAUAUUUGUGAUCAAACAACAAUAUAUAUGCAUGCAUUAUGUAAUGGAAGAAAAAUAUUUCCUUUUAAAAUGAAUUGUUAUGUCCUAGAUUGCUAGUAAGAAAAAUAUGAAUGUCUGAAGGCUCCUUGGUAGUUUGUAUCCAAUUAUUUAGCAUCUGGCAUUCUCUUCCCUCAGAAUCUUACAACUUUGAAUGUUUUAACCUCAGUGUUCAUUGAAGAAAGCCAAAUCAACAACACAAACUUAAUUUCUUACCAAACUAACAACCUUUUCUUUUUGCACCACCCUUGAAAGUUUUAACAUCCUAUUUGCUUUCGAGUCCAACAGCCAGUGUGUGACAUUUCUCUCCCCUUUUAUUUUUUUCUUUUUCUAGCUGGCAUGUCUAGGCCAUCUCCCAUCGAUUCCAUGUAAAGAACAUAAUCUGAAAUAUCUUUUGCUAUUCUUCUAUCCCACUUCUAGUAUUGUGUACUAAGUAAGAUUGGUUUUGCACUCUCAAUUUCUCUUCUCUGGGAAAGAUAUAAUAUCCACAUACACCGAUCUUUUUUCAACAGAACUCAGACUAUUUUAAAGAAAGACAGAUAUUGCUGUUUUACGGGUGAGAUCCAAGGAGAUACAAAAUAUUACCAGUUCUGCCACCAGUCUUUUACAUUAGCAAGUCAGUGACUCUUCAGUCCUUCAUAGUGCUGCAGCCAGCAAUUCCCAGACUAAGGCCAGUCAUAGUCAUGCCACUAUCAAUGGCACUAAAAAUAACUACAGCAAUACACACAUUGACAUUAGAAAUUCUUAGAAAUUCUGAUCAAGUACAAGGAAAAAAGUUUUCGCUAUUAUGAUGGUUAAACAUCAAAACAGGUUGCCCGGAGAACUUGUGGACUCUCCAUCCCCUGGAGAUACUUAAAACUUGACUGGGGACAGGGCCAUGAGCAACCUACUAGACCUUUUAAGUUAGAUUUAAAUUUGAGGCUGGCCCUGCUUUGAGCAGUGAGAUGUACAAACGGAUCUCCAGAAGUCCCUUACAAAUUAAAUUAUGCUAUGAUUUUGCUAUAUUUCUUGUUUAGAAGUCCAUGCCUCCCCUAAAUAAAUAAGCCAAACUCAUCCUGUAAAGUUUUUAUUCUCUCUCAAUUUGUUUUAAUUCUUCUAAUGCUCUUAAAAGUCAUUGCACUCAUGCUUGUCUCUGGCAAUGCCCACUGGUAUUAUUUUGUUGGAUCGGUGCUGUGACCCAACCUUUUCAAGCAAGGCUUUUGAGAAAUUGGCUUUUGCUAGUACCACUAAGCUCAUCUUUUCUUGGUCCUAAUUUCCCUCCGUUCACUGCCUCUUUUGUCCAAACCAGACUUCUUCACAAUGUAUCAUGAAAUGAGGACAAGACAUGAACUGAAACACGACAGUUUCUACCAGGUUUUCUUGAGAGGUUGUCCAGAUUCCAUCCUUGGAGAUUUUCAAGACCUGACUAGGUAUAGCCGCUGGCAACCUGGUCUGAUCUCACAGCUGAUUCUGUUUUAAGCAGGAAGUUGAACCAGGGACCUCUUGAGAUUCCUUCCAGCUUCAAGGAUUCAAUAAUUCUAUAUUCCAUACUGCACCAUGUAUGUUAAAUUUUCACUACUCCAGCAUCACUACAAUCAUAUUCCUCCUAGAUUUUACAGAUUGAGUCUUUCAGCAACUAUCCGUACAGAGUAAGGGAAAAGUGUAUGCUAAAAAUAUCUCAACUAGAAACUAGCCAAACAGCAUAUUUGUCUGAACUGUGAUAUCUAAUCAUGUCAGAAUAACCCCUUUGGACUAAUGCUCCCUUUUCUUCUGUCAACACAGGAUAUCAAACACAAGGGUAUUGGGCCAAAUUACUAGCACUAAUAGCAAUUUAUAUGAAUAAACACACCAUGAAGCAGAUGAGGUUAGGUGAUGAAUGUAAAACUUAUUUUCCUGUAAUGGAUUUUCUUUGUUGUGGUGAUUUGCUGAUAUGUAUGUUGUAGGUGUCUGUAAGACUGAGCAGUGAAAUCCAGAUAAUAUUUUGUCUCUGAAGUUUGUCUGCACUGAGUUCUAGCUUUUUUUUAAAAUGGAUGUCCAUCAGUGAUGCAGCAUGUGCUUUUUCCAAUUCUUCUCAACCCUCAAAUUUUGAGAUUCUAUCAGAUUUGAGAGAAAAGGGGCUGUGAAUAACACCUAUAGAGCCAUACUUCAAAGAACAGCAGUUACAAAUAACAGCAGUCUUUUGUCUGCUUUCUUAUAUGUCAGGUUUCAAUUUGUACUCCACAUGAGUCACUAUUUUGCUGCAGGACAGUUCCAGAAUUCCUUGCUGUUUAUGGCGAUGAGAGCACGUCUUUCAAAUCCAAAUUCAUGCCUGGAGGCUUUGGCAGUGCUUGGUAACAUAUGAAUAAAUUUUCAGGGUAAAACUCUGCUAAUCUCAGCAAUAGAGACAUUUUGCAACCAUGCCAUCAGAGUGACUUUAGUUCUGGUGAAACUUGCAAUGAAUGCAGGUGACUGUAAUUUUGCAGGUUCUUACACACUUCACUGUCUGAAGAGGCAGUUAGCGCAAUAAUAAAGGUAAUAAUGGAAUUCCUCUGAAGAGAAGAGUGAUAAGUCCAUAUCUCUACAGUAUUUCAGUGUACUGUAACCUUUAAAACACUACAGUGGACUGCUGGCGACCUUGCUGCCUGGUACAGACAGCUGGCCUGGCUUCACAUCCAGCAGCUUGGUGCCCAUAGCUGUGGCGUCUCUCUUCUCAGAAAAAUACUAUCUAUUUUCCCUUAGACCUAAAGAAGAUGUAAACCCAGUGAAGAGUAAAAAAUACAUUCUAAACCACAGCGGAGUGGCAACUGGAAACUAGUAGUAAAAUGUUAGGCUUCAUCGUUUCAUCCAUUUUUUUCUUCUUAACUCACUCAGCUUACUACAAGGUAAGCACAAGUAUGAAUUCUUUGCUUAACUGAGGAUCAACAAAAAAAAUUAUUGUUGCCAAAGAUGAACAACUCAGUCAUAUAAAAUCUUUCCAUCUCUUCAUUCCUGAUAAUUUUCAAAAUCUAAUGACUCAUUUUGAUACAGAUUUCAAAAUAUCAAAACCAAGAAAUUGAAGAUUAUGCAUUAAAUAAUGGUUGUAAAGAUACUUAUGUAGUAAACUACUUUGUUUCUAACCUAUUACAAUGAUUUAAAUUUUAGUGACCUUUGACAUAUCCAAGCAACACAUAUAAAGACUUAAGGUGUACAAAUAAUCUAGCAAUAAGGUUUGCAGAUAGGGCGAAUAUAUUUUAUUAGAUGAAUUGGUGUAACUGCCAAAAUCAAGACACAAGUCCUCCUUCAGGUCUGUAAUAGAAGCUGCAAUUUCAAAGUUAAACAGAAAUUGAGAACAAUUGCUAAUAAUUUAGUUUAUAUAUAUCAGUUAGACCAUCUCGGAAAGAAAAGAUAGUUGGGUAAUUGUGAAGUAAAGAUGUGGAAGAUGAGUGAGCAGUAACUAUUUAGUUAUCAGACCUAGUAACAUUUUAAGAAGGAAUUAAUUUUCAGUAAUACAAAAUUUGACAGCUCAGCUGUCAACUGAGCGCUGCUAAUAAUAACGCUGAUGGAAGGCAGAAUAAAGUUAUGUUCUGCAGCUAAUCAUAGCACAGAAGGAAGUCAUAUGACUAAACUAAAAAGGAUAUAUUUAUAAUGCCUUUACUAGUUUAUUUCAAGGUCUUGCAAAUAUUAGUGCCUUGGAACUGUAUAAGCAGUGCAGUAGGACUAGUAAUCAAACAGCAUCUAUCAAUCUAGGAAAUUUGCUGAAAGGUGGAGUGUUUGUUAUUGAAGAGUUUAAAUAUUUUGUAGCUCAAACAGGUAGUAAAGCUCCAAAUGCAUCACCAGCCUUGGUAAAAUGAAUUAUUUUUAAGACUGACAAGAUCAGAAAAAAAAUCCAUACAAGCUACACAAAAUGUUAUUAAACUAGUAUCAAUUAUUUGUAUCAAUUAUUUCUUCUGAUAUCAGGCAAAAGCUAAGGGCAGAUCACACAUUAUUUUUCUUCUGAAUAUGCAGUAUUUUAAUGGUAAAAAUAGAUGUCUGUGUUUAUCAUUUGAGUAGAGCUGAAACAGAUUUCAAAAAUAGGGAUUUUGCUUUUUUAAAAAAUGAUACUAAUUCAGGACAAACUAAAAUGGGUACCACUAAAUGAAAGUUUUCCCUACCAGCUGAGGCAUUUUUUUCAGGAGGAUGGAACUUCUAAAGGAAACAAGCAGAACACUUCAGUACUGUCUUUCACCAAAUAAAUUUCCUCAGAUGUGGACAGAUGCAGAAGGAACAGAAACUUUGAUGGGAAUUUUGAAAUUUCAUAAUAUAUUCAAUACAACGAAGUAUUUUCAUAAGAAUUUUAAUUUUAAUGCUGUUCUUACUGUGAAGAAUACAUUUACCUGCUGCUGAUUUUUAAUUUUAUUGAUUACAAACAUCUAGCUCAAACUUUCUAUCCUUAUUGUCAUAUUGACUUCUCUAGAAACUUAAUAUGGAAAUAGUUUCUAAUAAGAAGGUGUAAAGACAACAUCUACUUUUCCAGGACAGUUUCUGUCUGUAAAAAAGAAUUCUAGUCCAAUGAACAAUUAUUUGCAUCACAGCUGACUGGUAACAGACCUCUUGGUGAAUUUAUGAGAUUAUUGAAAAGAAUUAAAAUAUUCAGCUGAUCAAAUAUUACAUUUUGCAUUUUAUAUGCAAAAGUACUUAGUAUAGAAUCAUAGAAUUAUACAAUCACAGUAUGGUUUGUGUCGGAAGGGAUCUUAGAGAUCACCUAGUUCCAACCCCCCUGCCAUGUGCAGAGACACCUUCUACUAGACCAGGUUGCUCAAAGCCCCAUACAGUCUGGCCUUGGACACUUUUAGGGAUGGGGCAUCCACAGCUUCUCUGGGCAACCUGUUUCAGUGCCUCAUGGUGAAAAAUUUCUUCCUUUUAUUUGACCUAAAUUAACUCUCUUUCAGUUUAAAGUCAUCAGCCUUAGUCCUAUCACUACACACCCUUACAAAAAGUCCCUCUCCAGCUUUCUUGUAAUUCCCUUCAGGUACUAGAAGGCUGCUAUAAGGUCUGCCUGGAGCCUUGUCUUCUUGCAAUCUCACAUUUUAUUGUCCAGUAUGGAAAAGUCAUAGUCUUAAAUUAAUCUCUGAAGUUUCUACUCUGCACUGUGUUUUCUUUUUCAAAAGAAAUGAUAGUCUUUUGCUAGGCAGUCACUGUGUUAACUAAAAUGAAUUGAACAAUUUCUCCCUAUUUAGGAGACUCGCCUAAUUGAAAUAAUGUUUUAGUAUAAAACCAAAUAUUCUCAUUAAAAUUCAUUGCCAAGUUGCUGAAAAUAUUUACAUAACAAAUCAAUGCAAUAAAUAAGAUUGAGGGAAUUCAGAUAUUGUAAUAAACACUUUUGGAACAGUAGAAGUAAACUCAUUUAAACUCAUUGAGUGAAUUACUUGAUAUGAAUUAUUUCCUUUACUACUGAAAAAAUGAGGCUCUAAAAUCUCAGGUUUAUGUAAUCAGUCACCUUUUGGUUUAUAUUUAUCAAUCAAAAAUACCUCCAGCUAGUAAUAACACAAGGAAGAAACUAAUCUUACAGUUUCUGGUGAGAUCACAACUUUUAAAAAUCUCAGCAAAAGAUGCUUCAGAGGAAUUAUACAGUGUUGCUACAAAAAGAAACUGCAAAGAGGCACAGGCAGAGCAUGCAAUCACUUAGAAAAACAGAUUUCCUAAAUUAAUCCAGAUUGUAACUGGCAUAAUGAAAACAUUGAUGUCAGAGACUGGAGUUUGCAAUAAUAAAGGGAUUUAGAGAGGAUUAAAGAGGAUAUACGAGAUUAUCAGACUAAUCACAACUGAUAUUGACACAAAUCAGAUAUUAGAAGCCAUAUUGUAUAACUUUUAGAUGUGUCUUCUUUGGAAAUACCGAGUCCUAAUCUCUCAAAAAAUAAACAGAAUAAUGUGUAUUCAUAAUAAAGACCAGUAUUUUAAAAGCCUAGCAAUUUCAAUAAUUAGUCCUUUGUGCAAUAUGUGAACAUAUGUACUGAAUGUCUCCAAAUAUUUAUGUUCAUUUUUCACACAUAGAAAUUAAUUUUCAAUACUUCCAUCGGAACAGUACUAUCACUCAAACUUUUUUAGCAGGUUAGAUACACUAGAGCUAAUUCUCCAUUAUUUUUUGAAGAUUAAACUUUUAAAAGAUAUCUUUUAUGUAACGUGCACAAAACAAUAGCAUAGGAACUGAACAUGCUAUAAAAUGAUACACUUUUCAGAAGUCAGCUUCCAUGGAGUGCUGACUUAACUCUCCACCUACUGUUUAGCAAUAAGUAACACUCUAUUAUGUAAUAAUUGCAAUUAUGUAAAAACUCUGACAAAUAAUCUCAAAAUGGAAAUAAACCCCCAAAAUUAAAGAAGAAAAAAGUCACCUUCCCUCUCUCACCAAAUAAGAGUCGAUUUUCAUGAUAUAUGUAAAUCAUUAAGUGGAAAGAAAAACUCUCCUCAUAAGAAUUCCAUCUGUGUGACUACUUCUUUGAAUAUUUCUGACAGUUUGCAUAUCCCAUUUUAAGAAAGGAUCUGUUUAAAGUAAACAAGAACACUAACUUGGAAAGAUGUAAUCACAGGAGCAUCAUUAAACAAAUGCAAUUUUGCCAUGUUAGGGCAUAGGGCAUAAAAUGCUUAGAAGUCAGAAGGUAUCUAUAUCUUAGGAAGAUUUUUUCUAACAAGCCAAAAUAAUUUGUAACACCACAAAUCUCUGACAAAGAAGAACAAAUUGCAUAGUGUUACAUUAACUACAAUGAAGUUGAAUACAAGGUGAAAUAUAUAAUUUAGUUUCCAAAAUCAAUGAUGAAUCUGGAGGAUCUGGUAGCUAAAUCUAAGCUAGUUACAAAAGAUUCUCAAAUCUCAGUCUUCAAGAAUUUUGGCAGAUCCUUUUGUAAUUAGGGUGCAACAUCAAUUCCUUGCAUAUAAGACUAGAAGCAGAUUAAUUUAAAGAUACGUUUGGAAAAGCUGAUGCCUUACACAAAGAUAGACCUUAAACUGGUGGCUAGCAAUCUUCUUUUCAGUUUUCUUAUUCAGAUAGAACAGUGCACACACCCAAACAACCCAGGUACUAUCAACAUUUGAAAGGACAGCAAAAUGAAAAAUGGUAUGAUCUUAGAACAAAUAAUUAAUUGAUAAAAAUGUUAAGAAAAUCUUAACAAUAACUAUAGCUCAGUGACAAAAUAGCUUAAGUUCUGGUCAAAUAAAGAUUCAGCUUGCUUAAAAGUGAUGUACAAAGAAAUUAUUCCUCAAUACUCUGCACUGUUUUUUUCCUCUACUCUGCAUUGAUGUGGCCUCACUUAGAGCACUGUGUACAGUUUUGGGCACCACAGUAUAAAAAGGAUAUAAAGCUACUGGAGAGUGUCCAGAGGAGGGCCAUGAAGUUGAUGAAGGGUUUAGAGGGGAAGCUGCAUGACGAGAAGCUAAAGUCACUUGGUUUGUUCAGCCUGGAGAAAUUAAUGAGUGAAUCCCUUGUGCUUUGCUUACAUGCGCAGCUUUUGCUUUACCUGUUAAACUGCUUUUAUCUCAACCCAUGAGUUUUCUCACUUGUACUCUCCUGAUUCUCUCCCCAUCCCACUGGUGGGGAGUGAAUGAGCACCUGUGGGAUGCUUAGUUGCUUGCUGGGGUUAAACCAUGACAACAACAAAUCUUUGCUCCAAUAAAAAUGCAGUAGAAAAUUGCAACGAAUUUGAAGAAAACCUGCCUCUAACAUUGAGAAAGCUAUGACUGUUUCUGAAACAGCAGUGUCACAGUAAGUACUGACUGUUGUAACCAAUGGGACAGCAUACGAAUGAAGCUGCCUGAAACAAGGUUGAAGAAUUGAGGUAUGACUGGUUUGUGCCUCAUCUUCUCCUCCAUCUUCAUUGAUUCGUUAUUUUCAGGAGGCUUCCUGUACCCUCUUUGGGAGGAAGGGAGCAUAGAAUAUUCCAAUACUAUUGCAAUAUGAACCUGGAAAAUUAUUUAAAAACUUAGAGGCAUAAUAAUGAAUGCUUUAUAAAUUACAGUUUACUGGAAAAAUAAAAUAACUAGAAAUGUUCAGGGUGAUUUUUCAAAAAGAGCUCAAGAAAAGGAUGAGAAUACUAUUAUGCUUGAAAACAAGAAUAGCUAGCCUGGGGAUGUUCCCAAAAAUCCAAUCAGCACUAGGAUAUAAAAGUAAGAACUAACAAAAUAAACAGAUUAAAAUUCUUCUGAUAAAAUUAUUUUUGGAGAAAAGGCAAGAAACUUAACUAAAAUGAUAGCAAUAUCAGAGAAAAUAUUGGGAAUGCUAACUUACUGAGAAAGAGACGAUUUGCUAAUAAAAAAGCUAAAAUAAGUUUUAAUAAUUUAUCCACAAAAAAAAGUGAAUAUGGGAAAGUGGUACAAAACAAAUUAAAUUCAUGUCAGUGUAAUAAAUUUUUCUGCUUCUAGUUAAUGACACUGAAAAUAAUUAAUGGUGUCCAAUCCACCGGUUUAUGUACCCCAGUGAAUUAGGAGUGGGAAAAUGAGAAAGUAUUUAACUAGAUAAUCAAAACUACAGAGAGUAAACAAUAGAGUAUAGAUAUAUUAUAUAUGGGAUAUGUUAUAUCGUAAACUAUAUCACCAAAUAAAAGAAAUUUGAUUAAUGUAGAAUUUUGUGUGUGUGUGAGAAGGAGAGGGAAGGGGACAGAGUGCAUGCACACACAGCCUGAACAUUUUUGUCCAAUACACCUGAAUAGAAUAUGCAGUAAAAUCUGAGUGUAUUAAAAAGAAGAAAAAAGAAUCAAUAAUAGUCUAGAAGAUAAAGGAACAAUUCUUGAUAAAUAUCAUGAGUUUAACAAAGAACUAAUCUUCAACAGACCUUUUUUUUAAUAUUUCGAUGCGAUUAUAGAAAAGCCUCCACUGGGCCUUAACUCCAUUGCUUGAAGUAGGAAAUCACGUCUGUCAGCAUUCUCUGAGCCCUGUCAUGCCAAACUUCAGUAGUUGCUUUGCUGUUUAACAUUUCCACACAAAGAGGUGACCUCAUCUAACAUCUCACCACUGCUUAAAGGUGAAGUUUCCCUUUUCUCCACUCCCUGCUGCUAGAUACAAACUCCCAACAUCUGAUUUUUACUGGUUGAGUUGAUUUGUCACAAUAAUAUGGCAUAAAAGUAAUGAAGUAGAAAAAAGAUUUUCUGCUGGGUUAGCAGGCCAAACCAGCUUAUGCUAGUGUCAAAUGACCAGGAGAGAUGGUACAAGAAGACAAGCUGCACAAUGAGGAGCAGGGGAGAAAAAACUGUGAAAUAGUGAAGAUUUCUUUUGGGCAGAAGCAAAGUGUCCUGUGAGCUCACCUGCUCAUUGAAUCAUACCUGCAGAAAGGAGGAUUUACUGCUGUUUUUGGAGGAAGUUGGUGGAAAUGUUUGCUGCAAUGUGCACCCAUGCUAAUGAGUGUAAGGAUGUCUCCUUUCACCCUGGAGUAAGACAACUACAAAGAAAUUCAAUCAAUGUAGCACUUUUGAGAGUUCGAUAAAUCAACCGAAUACUCCACUAAACCCUAUUCAACGCUGCAGAUUCCCUUAAUUCUAUCUGCUCUACUAAAUAUUAAAAGCUGGCUCAGUAAUUCUGAAAAAAUUUCAUUGAAGGGGAAUUAAAUCCAGCGGGCUCUGGAUGAAGUCUGCAGGGUACAUCAUUAACACUCAUAUAUAGUUGGAAAUUUUCCAAAAUAUUUAAUAUGCACUAAUUAAUCUAGAACAGUUAUUUCUUAGAAGCUCUUUCUCCUCAACUCCAUAUGGAAACACACCUAGGAGGAAAGUAUGCAUAUAAUUAUUCUAGAAUAAUUAUACUUUGGAAAAAUGUAAAAUGCACACAAUAAAAGGGUAAAUACUCCCUUUACAUAUGUCUUGCAGUAUA